UGGCACAGAAAAGCUAUGACCCAACUCACCUCCCUGUUGCUACUGUGUUUCUGCUCCUGUAGUUGCUGAAGGAAGAGGUUUGUUUGUUGUGGGUUUUUUUCUCUUCCAGGGACUGCCCUUUAUCUUCCCCAGGAACAGUUGGUACUCUUGCUGAUCUAAUUCACCUGGUUGUUUUCCAUACCCCUGCUCCAUAAGCAGUUCCGCUCUGUGGGGAUUUAAGAGUUAAAAUCUGCCAUUGGUUCUGCAUGUACAACAUCCUAUCCAAAAGCAGGACUAUCAUACGUCCAGAUAUACCUUCUUCUGUCCAGAAACUUUGCUGUCACAAGAGGAAGAAGUGGACCUGGGGGUCUCCCUAUCUACCUUCCUUUGGAGGACUGCAUCAAAAGAAGCGUGGCCAGAAGGUCGAGGGAGGCGAUUCUUCACCUCUACUCAGCUCUUGUGAGACCCCACCUGGAGUAUUGUGUCCAGUUCUGGAAUCCCCAACAUAAGAAGGAUAUGGAACUGCUGGAAAAGGUCCAGAGGAGGGCUACAAAGAUGAUCAGAGUGCUGGAGCACCUCUGCUGUGAGGACAGGCUGAGUGUUGGGGCCGUUCAGCAUGGAGAAGAGAAGGCUCUGGGGAGACUCUAGAGCAGCCUUCCAGAACCUGAUGGGGGCCUGCAAGAAAACUGGGGAGGCAUUUUUACAAGGGCACAUAGCGAUGGGACAAGGGCGGUGGCUUUAAACUGGAAGAGGGGAGAUUUAGACUAGACAGUAGGAAGAAAUUCUUCAUAAUGAGGGUGGUGAGGCACUGGCACAGGUUGCCCAGGGAAGCUGUGGGUGUCCCAUCCCUGGAAGUGUUCAAGGCCAGGUUGGAUGGGGCCUUGGGCAGCCUGAUCUAGUGGGAGGUGUCCCUGCCCAUGGCAGGGGGUUAGAACUGGAUCGGCUUUAAGAUGCCUUCCAACCCAACCCAUUCUAUGAUUCUAUGAUUCAAUGAUUCUAUGACUGUAGGCCAGUGUCAUUAUCCUGUUUCCUCUGGCAUGUCUUAGGGCAUUUGUCAACCUAGAACAGGAGAAUACUUGUUUCACAUAGCCCUUGACUGAGUAGACAAAGACUUGGGUGAAAUGAAAACUAGAUGAAUGGCUGGGUCAGAGGGGGGUGAUCAGUAGUACGAAGUCCAUUUGGAGGCCAGUAACUAACGGUGUAACCCAGGAGUCAAUACUGGGUCCGGUCCUGUUCAACGUCUUCAUUAAAGAUCUGGAUGUUGGGGCAGAGUAUGCCCACAGCAAGUUUGCAGAUGACUCAAAACUUGGAGAAGAGGCUGUUAUGCCAGAGAGUCCUGCUGCUAUCCAGAGGGACAUCACAGACUGGAGAAAUGGGCUAACAAGAACCUCUUGCAGUUCAAAACAGGGACGUACAAGUCCUGCAACUGGAAAGGAAUAACCUCAUGUACUGGUAAGUGCUGGAGAAUAGCUAAUGAGAAAGCAGCUUGGUAGAAAAUGACGUGGGGAUCCUGGUGGACACCAAGUUGAAUAUGAACAAGUGAUGCACCCUAACUGCAAAGGUCAGUGGUAUCCUGGGCUGCCACAGUAGGACUGUUGCUGACAGGUUGAGGGAAGUGAUCCUUUUCAUCUACUCAGCAUUGGUCAGGCCACACCUGGUGCACUGUGUCCAGUUCCUAGGCUCCCUAGCGCAAGAGAGACAUGGACACAUUGGAGAGAGCCCAGUGAAAGACCAUGAAGACCAUGAAAGGACCAGAACAUCUCUCCUAUGAGGAAGGGAUUGAAGAGCUGGGACUAUUCAGCCUGGAGAAAAGAGGGCUCAGAGGGUUCUCAUCAAUGUAUAUGAAUACCUGAAGGGAAGGUGCAAAGAGGAUGGAGCCAGGCUAUUCUCAGUGGUGACCAGCAAUGGGACUAGAGGCAAUGGGUGCAAAGCAAAUCACAGCAGGUUCCCUCUGAACAUCAGGAAACACUUUUUCACUGUGAGUGUGACUGAGCACUGGCACAGGUUGCUCAGGGAGGUCAUGGAGUCCCAUCCUUGGCCAUAUUAAAAAGCCACACAGUCCUGGGCCUGCUGUAGGUGACCCUGCUCGAGCAGGAGAGUUGGACCAAAUGCCCUCCAGAGGUGCUUUCCACCCUUAACCCUUCCCUGAUUCUGUGACAAACCGUUAGGAUUUAUUUACCAGCUUGCUUAUGUGUUUUGCGAUCAGUGAUACAGUCCUUGCCAGCAAAUGGUGAAUUCCAGAGCCACACAACGGUAUCUCACAACAACUUGAUAUUUCACAAGUUGCAUAUAGAUAAA